UACGUAGGAGACGAGCGUUGUCCGGAGUUACUGGGCGUAAAGGGUGCGCAGGUGGCGGCGCGCGUGGGGGGUGAAAUCGCCCGGCUUAACUGGGCGGGGGCCUUCCAGACGGCGUGGCUUGAGCAGCGGAGGGGGACGUGGAAUUCCGGGUGGAGCGGUGAAAUGCGUAGAGAUCGGGAGGAACACCAGAGGCGAGGGCGGCGACCUGGACAGGUACUGACACUGAACUACGAAAGCGUGGGGAGCAAACAGG
rnacentral:rRNA from 1 species